rnacentral:rRNA from 1 species
UACGGAGGGGGCUAGCGUUGUUCGGAAUUACUGGGCGUAAAGCGCACGUAGGCGGCUUUGCAAGUCAGAGGUGAAAGCCCGGGGCUCAACCCCGGAAUAGCCUUUGAGACUGCAUCGCUAGAAUUGUGGAGAGGUAAGUGGAAUUCCGAGUGUAGAGGUGAAAUUCGUAGAUAUUCGGAAGAACACCAGUGGCGAAGGCGACUUACUGGACACAUAUUGACGCUGAGGUGCGAAAGCGUGGGGAGCAAACGGG